rnacentral:lncRNA from 1 species
CUUGAAAUGACUUGAACCAAAAAUACAUUUGUACAUGUUAGAUUGUUCUGUGUUGUUGCAGGAUAUCAUCUAUCAAGACGAAGACGUGCCGCAGGUUCUGCUGGACUUCCUCCAUGUGAAACACUUUCACACGGGGAUCAAGAAGAGCAGCAUGGAAUCAGUUGAUGAAUUGGACAGUCAGGAUUACAGUUAUCCAUUACCAAAUCAGCCAGUGUUGGGAUUUUUACAGGAUCCUUAUCUCUCUGACUGCACAUCAGGUAGGAAAUAAACUGCGAAAAUGUUAAGAAACAGUUACUAUCUCUGCACCAGUGUGUAUUUUGUUGAUUGGUGCUAUAAUUGUGAAUUGCAACAAAAAAAGCAUUAAAAAGCAUGACAACCUUGUUUAGACAGCAUUAACCCUGAGCUCUGUCUUGUCUUGCAGAUUUCCCAGAUAUUGUUGUGGAUGGGGUUCUUCAGGGUUUUUAUCCCCGGGACGUCCGGGUCAGCUUCACCGCCCCCAUUCUCACCGAGCCCGACCCCACCACUUCUAUAGAGGCCUAAAAUUAUAAUAAGAUGUAAGAUUCAAUGUUUUAAAAUAGAAUAUACAAUACAGUCAAAUACACAAUGCCAGCAAGAAAGAUAGAUGAAAAAAGCCGUCGGCAUACACUUGCAUGCAUGAUACAGAAGAAAAACAGCCUGAAAUAGGUCACCGUCUCAGGUAGUGCAUCUGAAUCUCAUUGUAUGUAAAUGCAAUGACAAUAAAGGAAUCCUAUCUUAUCACUGGAUGCUUUUUUCCAAAAUCAGCAGCCCCAGUGGGAUUGAAAUCCAAAACUCAGGCUUUGUUGUUCCAAUACGUCACCUGUUGAAUUGUUCAACCUUUUCAUAGCCCUUUUGAGAAUCUCAUAUUGAGGCCAAACACCAAAAUUCAUAUUUAAACUUAGUCACUCAAUAUGUCAGUUUAAGUAGCACGCAAACAGUUUUUAGGGGUUCCAUAUUGUACAAAGUGAGAUUAUUAUAAAGCAGGUCGAGGUGCUGUGUUAAUACUGUGAAAAUGCUUAAUUUACAGAGAAAUGCACACAGCUCGUAUUCAGAAUCUGUGUGAGGACUUCUGUACGGUUGUGAUGUCACAACUAUACUAUAUGUAGAAAGCAUCGCUACAGUGCCGUUACAGUCAUUCCCCGGCUGCAAUGAAGGUACAGAAACUCCGAGAGCGCAACUGCGGUAGACCCCGGAACGCUGACCAAUCAGAGCAGACUUGCAUAAAGAGACAGGCGCUACAACGGAGCGUUGCAGACAGAGGGUGAAUACAGGUAUAUUCAGACAGACAGUAUAAGGUAAAUAAUGUGUUUUUUGAACAUUUAAGCAUGUAAACAUGUUCUAGUAGAAACCAAAAAUACAAGAAUAAACCUGAAAAUAAGCAUGAUAUGUGUCCUUAAAUGAAGAUGUGGCAAUGAAUGUGGCCAAAAAAAUGAAGGCACAGUGUGGAAGUGUAGAAAAUUACUUGAAAUCCAGGCAGCUAAUAGGGUUAGGUUUGUAUUUUUAGAUAUUUGUGUUUACAUUUCUGUCAAAGUUUAGACAGAUUUAUGUAUAGUUUCUUAUAGUCAUAUACAUUUGUAGUAAUUCAAGUUUAUUGAGGCUGAUAUAAAUAUGGUUUUUGGUGUUUGGUCAAACAUAAUCAGCCUUUGAUGGCUCGAGCCAAAUACAAAUACUAAGGCUUUAUUUUGAGGCACUUUGUUCAGUGUAAACACGUUUUUGGAGCUAUAUGUACUUUUGUAUCAUCUUGUUUAUAUUGAAAUUAUAAUAAAGAAUCAGA